UGUGAGGUUAAGCGACUAAGCGUACACGGUGGAUGCCCUGGCAGUCAGAGGCGAUGAAGGACGUGCUAAUCUGCGAUAAGCGUCGGUAAGGUGAUAUGAACCGUUAUAACCGGCGAUUUCCGAAUGGGGAAACCCAGUGUGAUUCGUCACACUAUCAUUAACUGAAUCCAUAGGUUAAUGAGGCGAACCGGGGGAACUGAAACAUCUAAGUACCCCGAGGAAAAGAAAUCAACCGAGAUUCCCCCAGUAGCGGCGAGCGAACGGGGAGCAGCCCAGAGCCUGAAUCAGUGUGUGUGUUAGUGGAAGCGUCUGGAAAGGCGCGCGAUACAGGGUGACAGCCCCGUACACAAAAAUGCACAUGCUGUGAGCUCGAUGAGUAGGGCGGGACACGUGGUAUCCUGUCUGAAUAUGGGGGGACCAUCCUCCAAGGCUAAAUACUCCUGACUGACCGAUAGUGAACCAGUACCGUGAGGGAAAGGCGAAAAGAACCCCGGCGAGGGGAGUGAAAAAGAACCUGAAACCGUGUACGUACAAGCAGUGGGAGCCUCUUUAUGGGGUGACUGCGUACCUUUUGUAUAAUGGGUCAGCGACUUAUAUUCUGUAGCAAGGUUAACCGAAUAGGGGAGCCGAAGGGAAACCGAGUCUUAACUGGGCGUUAAGUUGCAGGGUAUAGACCCGAAACCCGGUGAUCUAGCCAUGGGCAGGUUGAAGGUUGGGUAACACUAACUGGAGGACCGAACCGACUAAUGUUGAAAAAUUAGCGGAUGACUUGUGGCUGGGGGUGAAAGGCCAAUCAAACCGGGAGAUAGCUGGUUCUCCCCGAAAGCUAUUUAGGUAGCGCCUCGUGAAUUCAUCUCCGGGGGUAGAGCACUGUUUCGGCAAGGGGGUCAUCCCGACUUACCAACCCGAUGCAAACUGCGAAUACCGGAGAAUGUUAUCACGGGAGACACACGGCGGGUGCUAACGUCCGUCGUGAAGAGGGAAACAACCCAGACCGCCAGCUAAGGUCCCAAAGUCAUGGUUAAGUGGGAAACGAUGUGGGAAGGCCCAGACAGCCAGGAUGUUGGCUUAGAAGCAGCCAUCAUUUAAAGAAAGCGUAAUAGCUCACUGGUCGAGUCGGCCUGCGCGGAAGAUGUAACGGGGCUAAAUCAUGCACCGAAGCUGCGGCAGCGACGCUUAUGCGUUGUUGGGUAGGGGAGCGUUCUGUAAGCCUGCGAAGGUGUGCUGUGAGGCAUGCUGGAGGUAUCAGAAGUGCGAAUGCUGACAUAAGUAACGAUAAAGCGGGUGAAAAGCCCGCUCGCCGGAAGACCAAGGGUUCCUGUCCAACGUUAAUCGGGGCAGGGUGAGUCGACCCCUAAGGCGAGGCCGAAAGGCGUAGUCGAUGGGAAACAGGUUAAUAUUCCUGUACUUGGUGUUACUGCGAAGGGGGGACGGAGAAGGCUAUGUUGGCCGGGCGACGGUUGUCCCGGUUUAAGCGUGUAGGCUGGUUUUCCAGGCAAAUCCGGAAAAUCAAGGCUGAGGCGUGAUGACGAGGCACUACGGUGCUGAAGCAACAAAUGCCCUGCUUCCAGGAAAAGCCUCUAAGCAUCAGGUAACAUCAAAUCGUACCCCAAACCGACACAGGUGGUCAGGUAGAGAAUACCAAGGCGCUUGAGAGAACUCGGGUGAAGGAACUAGGCAAAAUGGUGCCGUAACUUCGGGAGAAGGCACGCUGAUAUGUAGGUGAAGCGACUUGCUCGUGGAGCUGAAAUCAGUCGAAGAUACCAGCUGGC
rnacentral:rRNA from 1 species